UGGGGAAUUUUGGACAAUGGGCGCAAGCCUGAUCCAGCCAUGCCGCGUGCGGGAAGAAGGCCUUCGGGUUGUAAACCGCUUUUGUCAGGGAAGAAAUCUUCUGAGUUAAUACCUCGGGAGGAUGACGGUACCUGAAGAAUAAGCACCGGCUAACUACGUGCCAGCAGCCGCGGUAAUACGUAGGGUGCAAGCGUUAAUCGGAAUUACUGGGCGUAAAGCGUGCGCAGGCGGUUUUGUAAGACAGAGGUGAAAUCCCCGGGCUCAACCUGGGAACUGCCUUUGUGACUGCAAGGCUUGAGUGCGGCAGAGGGGGAUGGAAUUCCGCGUGUAGCAGUGAAAUGCGUAGAUAUGCGGAGGAACACCGAUGGCGAAGGCAAUCCCCUGGGCCUGCACUGACGCUCAUGCACGAAAGCGUGGGGAGCAAACAGGAUUAGAUACCCUGGUAGUCCACGCCCUAAACAAUGUCAACUGGUUGUUGGGAAGGUUCCUUCUCAGUAACGUAGCUAACGCGUGAANUUGACCGCCUGGGGAGUACGGCCGCAAGGUUGAAACUAAAUGAAUUGACGGGGUCAUA
rnacentral:rRNA from 1 species